CCGCCUUUGAACAAAAUAAUCCCUUCAUUUUUCUGAAGGUAUGGGGAAUAAUAUUUCAUUUUUCUCCUCACUGGAAAAUUUUUAAGUGCAGCGAUUAAAGAAGUUACCUAUGGAAGGAAGUUAAGCAAUUAGGUAAAGGGAAACAAAAGACAUCAAUAGAAAGUACUGCGGAGGAAUUUUUGUCAAGCUGUGAGACGACGGCGUGAGAAGAGUGAAGGCGGUUGAGAGGGGCUCAGGGAAUUGUCCUGUGUGCCAGGGACUUUCUUUAGGCCUCGGGCCCUUGUCUGCCCCUAUCGUCAGCAGAGAGAUGGAAACCUUGAUGACUAGUUCCACUCUGCCUCCCCUUUUUGCAGAUGAAGAUGGCUCCAAGGAGAGUAAUGAUCUGGCUUCAACUGGGUUAACCCACCCAGAGGCUCCAUAUAGUAGUGGAGCCACAUCAUCCACCAAUAAUCCAGAAUUUGUAGAGGAUCUCUCCCAAGGUCAGCUGCUUCAGAAUGAAUCUUCAAAUACAGCAGAAGGCAAUGAACAGAGGCAUGAAGAUGAGCAAAGAAGUAAACGAGGAGGUUGGUCCAAAGGAAGAAAGAGAAAGAAACCUCUUCGAGACAGCAAUGCACCCAAAUCCCCUCUUACAGGAUAUGUUCGGUUCAUGAACGAGCGUCGAGAGCAGCUUCGAGCAAAGAGACCAGAAGUCCCAUUUCCAGAAAUUACAAGGAUGUUAGGCAAUGAAUGGAGUAAACUUCCUCCGGAGGAAAAACAGCGCUACCUUGAUGAGGCAGACAGAGAUAAGGAGCGUUACAUGAAGGAACUGGAGCAGUAUCAGAAGACUGAGGCCUACAAGGUUUUCAGCAGGAAAACCCAGGAUCGUCAGAAAGGCAAAUCUCAUAGGCAAGAUGCAGCCCGACAGGCCACUCAUGAUCAUGAGAAAGAAGCAGAAGUAAAGGAACGGUCUGUUUUUGACAUCCCUAUAUUUACAGAGGAAUUCCUGAACCACAGCAAAGCUCGGGAGGCAGAGCUCCGUCAGCUUCGCAAAUCCAACAUGGAAUUUGAGGAGAGGAACGCGGCCCUGCAAAAGCACGUGGAGAGCAUGCGCACAGCGGUAGAGAAGCUGGAGGUGGACGUGAUCCAGGAGCGCAGCCGCAACACCGUCUUACAGCAGCACUUGGAGACCCUGCGGCAGGUGCUGACCAGCAGCUUCGCCAGCAUGCCCUUGCCUGGAAGUGGAGAGACACCUACAGUGGACACUAUCGACUCCUAUAUGAACAGACUGCACAGUAUUAUUUUAGCUAAUCCCCAAGACAAUGAAAACUUCAUAGCUACAGUUCGAGAAGUUGUGAACAGGCUUGAUCGUUAGGGAAUGAUAUACAAUGGAAGAAUUACCCCAGCUGUCAUCUUUCUUUGUGGCUAACUUAUACUUAGAAAAAGUGGAGCUGAGAGGAAGCCAUGGGGGUGAUUUCACAUGGAGAGUUCUACAGGUCUUAGAGCUCCAGGAUGUUCUGUAAGUGGUUUUACUUGUUCAGAAUGAGAAGCAAUCCAUGGAAAUUUGAGUUGAGUGGAGGCAGAGAGGGCGUACAGAUUAUUAUGCUUGUGAAAGAACCGUCAGUUAUGAGGUACAUGCCUUCACCCCAGGAAGCCAUGUGAGGGAGCAGCAAAAGGAACAUGUAUGUGAACUUCCUAUGGAAUUGUCCUUGUGAAGCUUUGACCGUGUGCAAGUCUUCAGUCUUCUAUCAUCUCUACUUCUGUUCAAGUGGGUCUGCGUAUAUUCUGCUGACUAAACACCCCUGAGAGAGGCACCUUUUGCAGCAGAAAGGAAGCCUUCUCAUUGUUCUGCUUCAUUCAGAUUGGACUCUUUUACCAGUGGCUCUGUGGUUUUUAUCAGUUUUCCUACCUAGCUGUCACUUCUUUUUUUAAUGCUUUUGGGGGUUGAUUUUUUUUAUAUUUUCUUCACCCCACCAAGUUAGAUGUCUCCAUUUUCUGACCUCUGGGCUUUGUUGCUCAGCAGGGCUCUGAAGGAGAGUUUCUCUCAUUGGACAGGCCCAAUCUUCUCCCAUCAUUGUCCUGCUGUGACUCCAAAGAAAGGAGCUUCUUGUUGACAGUGUCCUGUGGAGCGAGGCUGUGUCUCAUACCCCGCACAGCGCUCAGUGGGUGCCAGCCCUUGUCGUGGAGGCUUUGUGAUUGCAGCCCUGAAGGGGAGCACUCUUUCCUCCCCUCUUGGUACUGCCUGCUGUUUUCUAAGCAUCGCUCCUGCACGUACCCUGUGUCCCGGGCCCAGCAAGGCUCUUCUGUUCCCAUCUGUUGGCAGUGACUUGUGGAAUAUUUUUGCUGAGGGAAAGGUCAUUGGUAAACAGGACAGAACGAGAAAAGUUGUUUCUCACUUGGUAUUGAAAAAGAUCCUAAAGUUUCUUAUAAGCAAAAACAGAGGAAAUCCCUGUGUGCUUGAGGUGUACCGAGUCAUGGAUACGGGUGGCAGAAAUGUCAUCAGAAUACUGCCAGCUGACAGAAGAGAACAUGGAGGAAUUCUCCAUCCUUCGUCUUUCUCCUCUAAUCAUAACUGCAGAGUCUGUGUCAAAGGGACAGGCUUUCCUUCCUUCUCCCCUCUUCUGAUUUAAAAAAAAAAAAAAACAGCAAAAGGGAAGAGAAGUUUCUGAUUUUCACCUCAGGGUUUGGUUUUGUUGUAUUAUGUGUUGAUGCUGUGGAGCACAAGGCUGGUGGUUGCAGCUGAGAUCUUUGGAACCAAAGCAGGGCACGCUGAGCCCACUGUCCAGGCACCACGCCACCAAGGGCAGGUGGAAGUGUGGCCCUCUCACAGCAUGCUCACAGGCCAGGGUGCAAGCCAGACACCCCCAUCAUGUUGCUGCACCCUCCUGUCUUCUCAGCAUCUCCUCCCCUGAUUUCUUUCUUAACCCAAAGGAAACAAAACAACAGCAAAAAAGCAACCAUGUUAGAAGUUCUUACAUGAACACACAUCAAAUUUUCAUGUAAUGAAGCCCAUACAUAUACCACCUUGGCCAUCUUUUAGAAUAACAGCCCAUCAUUAUCUCUAUAAACUUGCCAACUCACCUGCUCUUCUGUGUUUUCCUGCUCUGACUGGCCAUUCCUGGCUCUUCUCUCAGACACCCUGCCUGCUCAGUCCAAGCUGGAAUGCACUGUCUGUGGCAGAAGGACAGCCAAGCUAGUUCUGGAGUUUGUGUCUGCCUUCUGCCAAAUACUUUGUCUCCUUUCUUCCUCCUCAUAUUUCUCUCUGUCUCGCCUUUGUGUUAGUUUUGCACAGCAUUAUUAGCAGUGCUGUGCACCAGGAAAGGCUGUAAUAGGUCCAGAGCUUCUCCUUAGUCUGGAUAGAUACCUGACACUGACUUGAGAGACAUCCAUUUUCAAGAAUGCAUGAGAUCUCAAGAAAGCUGGCAGUUUGAAAGCAUUUUCACAAAAUAGCAACCUGCUUCUGACAUGCUGGCCCUCCCAGCAGCUACACCUGACUCACUGGUGGCUGGAAUUCAACUGCCACAAAACAAGAAGGUUCCGUGAAGCAGGUCUGCCUUUGCCUUCUCUCUCCUCUGUGCCCAGCCAGGAAUGGAGUGAGUGAGCUCAGAGGCUGACACAAUACCUAAUUCACAUUUCCCAGUAAACUUGUAGAUAUUAUUUCACUAAUAUGUUCUUCUCAAGAAAUAAGUUGUUGCCUAUUCAGUGUUACAGGUUUCUUUCUUUUUAUUAAAACACAAAGAGCAGCUGAGGAAAAUGAGACAGAUUCUGACACAAUGAAAUUUUAGAAGAAAAAUGUGUACGUGUGUUUGAAACUGUUGAAAUGCCAAGUUUUCUGUACAAGUGUUUUUGUAAUUAAACUUUUAGAUUUUGUUUUUUUUAAGAAGUCAAUAUGCUUGUUUGAUGUUUGCCUCAUUAAAAACUUUUCUAUGUUGAAUC